UGUGUUUGUGGCUUGCUAGCCUGCUUAGCAUUGCUUAUUCUUAUAUGUUCAUCACUUUAUCCUUUGCCAUUUUACUGCGUGCUUCUUUUUUCCACUUUUUUACUGUUUCACCUGUGUGUAUUUUAUCGUGUGCACCCGUUUCUCUCUUUUUUCUUUUCUUUUUUUCCACUAGUCUACAUCUCGCAUCUCUACUGCAUGCAUUCGUUUUCUCCUCUGUGUUUUACACGGAUUAUUGCAUCAAUCUCAAACAUCUGCUGAUCAGGAACCACAUCGAACCACAUCGAUCUCAAAUCCUUGCCGCUCAAGAACAACCAUAACAACAACAACAACAAACAGUUGUGCUCCAUUCCUGCUUGGUGUCGGACUCCACUGCUACAUGUCUCUGAGUGAUGACGACUAAAUGCAGCCGGUGCCAGCCAGACAUCACUUCAAUCUAUUACGAUGGACUUCAGAGGAUGAACUGAUGACAACUCCACCAAAAGACAUGGGAUACUUCAUCUGCCACUGCCUGAACCUUGGACUUAGUAUAGACCUCACCAAACCUCACUGAAAUGACCUGCUAGUUGAACUGUGAUGCACCUCGCUGAUCUCUGCCUGCAUCACCUUGGUCUAAUGAUGGACUACACUCUUGAAAUGGAAUACAUUUCAAUUAUGUGACAACAAAACCCUUCAUCAGCCAACUAACAAAGGACAAUGCAUCUAUGUGAACUUCUGCAGUUAACCCAGGAUGGACUUCAAAGACAUUAGCCAUUAAUCAUACAGUUCAUACAACAUCUUUGUUUAAACACUGGCCCUUAACACUUACUUAGUUUAAUUUUUUUAAACCAUGACUUGUACUGCACAUAAAUAACUAAUUUUGCCAUUAUAUUCAUGCUGGUUAGGGAAGGCCUCCACAGUGAGCCUGGUUUCUCCCAAGGUUAUUUUUCUCCAUUAACCAACAUCUUAUGGAGUUUUGUGUUCCAUCCCACAGUCACCUUCAGCUUGCUCACUGGGGUUCUACAUACAAUUAUUAUUUAAUUACUUAUUUUUAUACACAAUUUACAAUUACACAAUGAUGAAUCUAAGACUUUAUAGAUAUUACAGAUUCAUUUUCUGUUAAUGCAUGAUUUUCUGUAAAGCUGCUUUGAAACAAUGUGUGUUGUGAAAAGCGCUAUACAAAUAAAAAUGACUUGACUCC